rnacentral:rRNA from 1 species
CAGUUCUGUCAUGUAUUACGAGAAUACUACACAUUACCGCCAAAUAAAUGCACAGAGUUAGAACGGCGAGUGAGCGGGAAGAGCUCAAAUUUGUAAUCUGGCACUUUCAGUGUCCGAGUUGUAAUCUCGAGAAGUAUUUUCCGCGCCGGACCGCAUACAAGUCUGUUGGAAUACAGCGUCAUAGUGGUGAGAACCCCGUAACUGAUGCGGAUGCCCGGUGCUUUGUGAUAUACUUUCGAAGAGUCGAGUUGUUUGGGAAUGCAGCUCAAAUUGGGUGGUAAAUUCCAUCUAAAGCUAAAUAUUGGAGCAAGACCGAUAGCGAACAAGUACCGUGAGGGAAAGAUGAAAAGCACUUUGGAAAGAGAGUUAACAGUACGUGAAAUUGUUGGAAGGGAAACGCUUGAAGUCAGACUUGCUAUUCGGAGUUCAGCCGCAAGGUGUAUUCUUCGAUUCGCAGGCCAGCAUCAGUUUUUGGGGGUGGAAAAUCGCGGUUUGAAGGUAGCAACCUCGGUUGUGUUAUAGCUUUCCGCUGGAUUCAUCCUUGGGGACUGAGGAACGCAGUACGCUUUUUGCAAGGCUCUCGAGCUUUU